rnacentral:lncRNA from 1 species
CUUGUUGUUUUCGUCGCCCCCUUGCCCAGUUCUUGGUGCCCUGUCACGCCCCUCCACACGGCAGCCGCGAUCGAUGACUUCUCGCCCCCAUGCGCCGCCGUCGCCCACCAGCCUGACAGGGGCAACACCGCCGCCGCAGGUACAUCUGCUCCCUACGCUCUCUACGUUCUAUUGCCCAAUGUCUCGAGCUGAAAGACGAGGUCGCGAAGCACCAGCCAGUUGUGGUCCCCCAUGGAACUACCCGUCGUGGAUCCAACUCUACUUACGCCCUCCGCCCCAGGCCUUGUCGGCUCCUCACUUGUCCACGCCUGCUUGACUUCGGUGCCACCGGCAUCGCCCACAAUAUGUUCGAUGUAAUGCCACAGUGGGGGAUUGUUGGCUGGAGCGCUCAUUGAGGCCACAUGGCAUGCAACGACGUCGAAUCGUCGAGGCGUGUAUGGUGUGAGGCACUACAUGUGUUUGGUUGCUUGUAUCAUUUGAUUCAUGUAUGGGAUCGUUCAAAAUAAUAAUGACUAUUUUAUUUAGUUGGGUGAAUUGUACCAAUCUAUCCAAGAUGAAGCCAUCCCACUUAAUCUAUUAUUCUACUACUAAUAAUAGUGAACCAUACGGUGCAAACAAAUUGGUUGAAUCCCACCAUCCAGAAUCCUUCAUACAUGCAUCAAUUGGUGCAUGUACACCUUAUAUCUCUGCCAUAUACACAAUAAUUCGUUCGGUACUUUUGUUUGGGACUCAAGGAUCCAUUCAUGUCUUUAGUCAUAAAUUUUGUAUUGGUCUUUCCUGAACGCACUGAGAUCUAACGGUGGUAGCAUGCAGCGAUAAAAUACUACUCCAUUAUUUUUUUUCAAUCCUAUAAGUUGGAACGAUCUUCUUUAAGUAAAUAUUGACAGCAUUGCUCGGUGUACUGGGCUAGCUCUUUCCGUGAAUUCUUUCUUUUAAGUCUUCGUUCACGGGGUAGUACUGAUGAAUAGAUGAUGUUUCUUUUGACUAAUAAAUUGUUUGCACGAGGGGUUCAGUUCAAGAGUCCAGGUCAUGCUCUGGCAAAGAUCUGAAUGCAGUGGCGAGGAGGAGGAAGGAGGCAUUGGCUUAGCUUGACAUUGGUGUUCACUGUGAAAUUUAUUACACGAAUA